rnacentral:rRNA from 1 species
AUUGAACGCUGGCGGCAUGCCUUACACAUGCAAGUCGAACGGCAGCACGGGUGCUUGCACCUGGUGGCGAGUGGCGAACGGGUGAGUAAUACAUCGGAACAUGUCCUGUAGUGGGGGAUAGCCCGGCGAAAGCCGGAUUAAUACCGCAGACGAUCUACGGAUGAAAGCGGGGGACCUUCGGGCCUCGCGCUAUAGGGUUGGCCGAUGGCUGAUUAGCUGGUUGGUGGGGUAAAGGCCUACCAAGGCGACGAUCAGUAGCUGGUCUGAGAGGACGACCAGCCACACUGGGACUGAGACACGGCCCAGACUCCUACGGGAGGCAGCAGUGGGGAAUUUUGGACGAUGGGCGAAUGCCUGAUCCAGCAAUGCCGCGUGUGUGAAGAAGGCCUUCGGGUUGUAAAGCACUUUUGUCCGGAAAGAAAUCCUUGGCCCUAAUACGGUCGGGGGAUGACGGUACCGGAAGAAUAAGCACCGGCUAACUACGUG